AGGAUAGAGGCGCGGUUGUCAAGAGUACCGCGGAUGUAAAAGGCUUCGCGAAGCCGUUGUCCGCUGGAAAGGGGCUGCCGCCGAAGGCAGGGGAUGCGCGUAUUCCUGCCUGGGCAGACGGAGAAGAUCCGUCUGACUGUCGCAUUCUGCGGAGAGCUAUGUA
rnacentral:ncRNA from 1 species